GGCACAACGUUAACCAAAUAAUCAACAAUCAAUCCACAGAUAUGCCACAGCACCCAAACAAGCACAAAUUUUCUGUCCUCAACUAGCAAAUCAAAAAUCUGGCCUCAGCUAAGAAAUUAAAAUCUGGCAUCAGCUAAUAAAAGCUAGUAAUUUGGCCUCAGCUACUUAGAGACAGAAAAAUAAAGAAAGAAUUCACCGGAGGU
rnacentral:lncRNA from 1 species